rnacentral:rRNA from 1 species
UCGGGGACAAAGUGACAGGUGGUGCAUGGUUGUCGUCAGCUCGUGUCGUGAGAUGUUGGGUUAAGUCCCGCAACGAGCGCAACCCUUAUUGUUAGUUGCCAUCAUUUAGUUGGGCACUCUAGCGAGACUGCCGGUGACAAACCGGAGGAAGGUGGGGAUGACGUCAAAUCAUCAUGCCCCUUAUGACCUGGGCUACACACGUGCUACAAUGGGAAGUACAACGAGUCGCUAGACCGCGAGGUCAUGCAAAUCUCUUAAAGCUUCUCUCAGUUCGGAUUGCAGGCUGCAACUCGCCUGCAUGAAGCCGGAAUCGCUAGUAAUCGCGGAUCAGCACGCCGCGGUGAAUACGUUCCCGGGCCUUGUACACACCGCCCGUCACACCACGAGAGUUUGUAACACCCGAAGUCGGUGAGGUAACCUUUUUGGAGCCAGCCGCCUAAGGUGGGAUAGAUGAUUGGGGUGAAGUCGUAACAAGGUAGCCGUAUCGGAAGGUGCGGCUGGAUCACCUCCUUUCUAAGGAA